CACGUAGGCACCAAGCGUUGUCCGGAUUUAUUGGGCGUAAAGAGCUCGUAGGCGGUUCGGUAAGUCGGGUGUGAAAACUUUGGGCUCAACCCAAAGCCUGCACUCGAUACUGCUGUGACUUGAGUCCGGUAGGGGAGUGGGGAAUUCCUGGUGUAGCGGUGGAAUGCGCAGAUAUCAGGAGGAACACCAAUUGCGAAGGCAGCUCGCUGGGACGUUACUGACGCUGAGACGCGAAAGCGUGGGGAGCAAACAGG
rnacentral:rRNA from 1 species